rnacentral:rRNA from 1 species
GGUUAGUGGCGGACUGGUGAGUAACACGUAAGCAACCUGCCUAUCAGAGGGGAACAACAGUUAGAAAUGACUGCUAAUACCGCAUAUGCCUAAGUACCACAUGGUACAAUAGGGAAAGGAGCAAUCCGCUGAUAGAUGGGCUUGCGUCUGAUUAGCUAGUUGGUGGGGUAAAGGACUACCAAGGCGACGAUCAGUAGCCGGACUGAGAGGUUGAACGGCCACAUUGGGACUGAGAUACGGCCCAGACUCC